rnacentral:rRNA from 1 species
UACGUAGGCAGCAAGCGUUGUUCGGAGUUACUGGGCGUAAAGGGUGCGUAGGCGGUCCUAUAAGUAUGGUGUGAAAUCUCCCGGCUUAACCGGGAGGGUGCGCCGAAAACUGGGAGACUAGAGUGCGGGAUGGGAGAGUAGAAUUCCUGGUGUAGCGGUGAAAUGCGUAGAUAUCAGGAGGAAUACCGGUGGUGUAGACGGCUCUCUGGACCGCAACUGACGCUGAGACACGACAGCGUGGGUAGCAAACAGG